rnacentral:rRNA from 1 species
CCUACGGGUGGCUGCAGUGAGGAAUAUUGGUCAAUGGCCGCAAGGCUGAACCAGCCAUGCCGCGUGAAGGUCAGCGCCCUAUGGGCGUUAAACUUCUUUUGUGCGGGAGCAAUAAUGGUCACGUGUGGCCAGUCGAGAGUACCGCACGAAUCAGCAUCCGCUAACUCCGUGCCAGCAGCCGCGGUUAUACGGGGGAUGCAAGCGUUUUCCGGAUUUACUGGGUGUAAAGGGUGCGUAGGCGGGCUUGCAAGGCAGAAGUGAAAUCCAUGGGCUUAACCCGUGAACUGCUGUUGAAACUGUAGGGCUUGAGUGAAGUAGAGGCAGGCGGAAUGCCCGGUGGAGCGGUGAAAUGCGUAGAGAUCGGGAGGAACACCAGUGGCGAAGGCGGCCUGCUGGGCUUUAACUGACGCUGAAGCACGAAAGCGUGGGUAGCAAACAGGAUUAGAUACCCCAGUAGUC